rnacentral:lncRNA from 1 species
UUGUUUUAAUUAUUUCUUUCAUACCCUUACUUAGUUUUCCAAAAGGAAUGUUUGAAAUGGAACACCACGUUAAUUCAUAAAAUCUAUAGAGGUAGGUUUGAAAGAAUAAUGUUCGGCAAGGCAGUGUAUGCUUUCUAGUAGGAAAAGAUGAUGUUUGCAAGAAAGCUUUUCUGAGAAGGACAGUCUCCUCCUCAGACUGCAGCAGAGUGUCCCUUCAGGCAGUGGUUCACUGCAGACCUGUCUGACUUCUUGCAACUGCAGUUAGUUUAGACUAAGAAUUGGAAUAUCUUCAUCAGUACAAUUCACUUGGGUAGUUGCUCUCCUCAACUGUGAUGAGAGUCCACAUAAGUCAGACUGUACAGACAGACUGGAAUUGUAGGAUGGAAUAUUACCUUACCUUCUGACAAUGGAUCACUGUCCAGUAGAGCUACUAGAACAAAACCUUAUGUCACAGGUAUACGAUUGAAUGAGAUAUAAUAUAUUGAUUGUAAUAUAUUCAAAGCUGGUGUGGUAACCAUUCUCAUACCCAUACUAUUUGCUAAUUAUCCAAGGUAUAACUUUAGAGAUGUGGCUACUGCAGCAGUGCCCUAGAAUUCUGUAAUUUUAAGGUGUCCUUAAAUAACUUGCAAAACCAGCCUAGAAAGAAUAAAGAUCAGAUAGUGAAAAAUUUUUUAUUAUGUAAGAAAUCAGUAUCCUUUUAGUCUAGCCUCUUCUGUAGCUGCAGCUGAAACAAAGGAAUACACAUUUCCAGAGAAAGGAAGUAAAGGAAC